UGGGGAAUAUUGCACAAUGGGCGCAAGCCUGAUGCAGCAACGCCGCGUGAACGAUGAAGGUCUUCGGAUCGUAAAGUUCUGUUGCAGGGGAAGAUAAUGACGGUACCCUGUGAGGAAGCCCCGGCUAACUAAGUGCCAGCAGCCGCGGUAAUACGUAGGGGGCUAGCGUUAUCCGGAUUUACUGGGCGUAAAGGGUGCGUAGGUGGUCUUUCAAGUCGGUGGUUAAAGGCUACGGCUCAACCGUAGUUAGCCUCCGAAACUGGAAGACUUGAGUGCAGGAGAGGAAAGUGGAAUUCCCAGUGUAGCGGUGAAAUGCGUAGAUAUUGGGAGGAACACCAGUAGCGAAGGCGGCUUUCUGGACUGCAACUGACACUGAGGCACGAAAGCGUGGGUAGCAAACAGG
rnacentral:rRNA from 1 species